AACGCUCAAACCGCAUCUUCAUUGAUGUCGGGCUUGGAUUUGGACGUCGCUGGACGUGAGUUCGGCUCGUCUUGAACGCAUUAGCUGACGAUUUCGACUUCAGUUAAACCGUGUGAUAAUACAUCAACGCGGGCAGCCGUAAGGCGCUGGGUCGUCUCUCGAAGGCUUCCAAUCGUCCCGUCCGGGACUGUCCUUAUGGGCAUUUCAUUUCAC
rnacentral:misc_RNA from 1 species